CCACCUGGCGACAGGGAGCGGAACCCGAAAGCCUGUCUCAGUUCGGAUUGGAGUCUGCAACCCGACUCCAUGAAGCUGGAUUCGCUAGUAAUCGCGCAUCAGCCACGGCGCGGUGAAUACGUUCCCGGGCCUUGUACACACCGCCCGUCAAGCCAUGGAAGCCGGGGGUGCCUGAAGUGCGCUGCCGCAAGGAGCGCCCUAGGGUAAAACCGGUGACUGGGGCUAAGUCGUAACAAGGUAUC
rnacentral:rRNA from 1 species